rnacentral:rRNA from 1 species
AUUGAACGCUGGCGGCAUGCUUUACACAUGCAAGUCGGACGAGUGGCGAACGGGUGAGUAACGCUUGGGAACGUACCGAGUAAUGGGGGAUAACUGUCCGAAAGGACAGCUAAUACCGCAUACCAUACGAGCGGCCGAUGUGUGAUUAGCUGGUUGGCGGGGUAAAGGCCCACCAAGCCGACGAUCAGUAGCGGGUCUGAGAGGAUGACCCGACACACUGGGACUGAGACACGGCCCAGACUCCUACGGGAGGCAGCAGUGGGGAAUUUUGGGCAAUGGGCGCAAGCCUGAUCCAGCCAUGCCGCGUGUCUGAAGAAGGCCUUCGGGUUGUAAAGGACUUUUGUCAGGGAAGCGGUACCUGAAGAAUAAGCACCGGCUAACUCCGUGCCAGCAGCCGCGGUAAUAC